rnacentral:rRNA from 1 species
UACGAAGGGGGCUAGCGUUGCUCGGAAUCACUGGGCGUAAAGCGCACGUAGGCGGACUCUUAAGCCGGUGGUGAAAUCCUGGAGCUCAACUCCAGAACUGCCUUUGAUACUGAGGAGCUUGAGUCCGGGAGAGGUGAGUGGAACUGCGAGUGUAGAGGUGAAAUUCGUAGAUAUUCGCAAGAACACCAGUGGCGAAGGCGGCUCACUGGCCCGGUACUGACGCUGAGGUGCGAAAGCGUGGGGAGCAAACAGG